AUGCAGUCGAGGGGUAUAGUUCUUCGGAACUAGAGACCGGCGCACGGGUGCGUAACGCGUAUGCAAUCUACCUUUUGCAGAGGGAUAGCCCAGAGAAAUUUGGAUUAAUACCUCAUAGUAUAGUGAUACCGCAUGGUACUACUAUUAAAGUCACAACGGCAAAAGAUGAGCAUGCGUCCCAUUAGCUAGUUGGUAAGGUAACGGCUUACCAAGGCUACGAUGGGUAGGGGUCCUGAGAGGGAGAUCCCCCACACUGGUACUGAGACACGGACCAGACUCCUACGGGAGGCAGCAGUGAGGAAUAUUGGACAAUGGGCGCAAGCCUGAUCCAGCCAUGCCGCGUGCAGGAUGACGGUCCUAUGGAUUGUAAACUGCUUUUGCACAGGAAGAAACAACGCUACGUGUAGCGUCUUGACGGUACUGUGAGAAUAAGGAUCGGCUAACUCCGUGCCAGCAGCCGCGGUAAUACGGAGGAUCCAAGCGUUAUCCGGAAUCAUUGGGUUUAAAGGGUCCGUAGGCGGUUUAGUAAGUCAGUGGUGAAAGCCCAUCGCUCAACGGUGGAACGGCCAUUGAUACUGCUAGACUUGAAUUAUUAGGAAGUAACUAGAAUAUGUAGUGUAGCGGUGAAAUGCUUAGAGAUUACAUGGAAUACCAAUUGCGAAGGCAGGUUACUACUAAUGGAUUGACGCUGAUGGACGAAAGCGUGGGUAGCGAACAGGAUUAGAUACCCUGGUAGUCCACGCCGUANACGAUGGAUACUAGCUGUUGGGGGCAACUUCAGUGGCUAAGCGAAAGUGAUAAGUAUCCCACCUGGGGAGUACGUUCGCAAGAAUGAAACUCAAAGGAAUUGACGGGGGCCCGCACAAGCGGUGGAGCAUGUGGUUUAAUUCGAUGAUACGCGAGGAACCU
rnacentral:rRNA from 1 species